GUUUAAGGUUUAAGCUGGGAAAAAAAAAGAAAUUCCAUAAUUGGGUUUCAACUACUAUCACGGUAGGAUCAAAUGGUUGACAGUAUGUCAAACAAUAGUGAUUCCACAUCUAUCAGUAAAGAUCAGGAAGGGUGUAGUAUUCGUGAGGUUAUGAUCGAGUUGCACUCAAUUAAAGGAGUUCAUAUCGGUGAUGAUUUUCAUGGGUUUGCUAUUGAGUUUUUAGGUUUAAGAAGGAAUAGAGAAAUGUGGUAAACUAUGGGUAAUCUUGAAAACAAGAUGAAAUGGUUGCAGAGAAUAUACACAUGGCAUAAACGACCUUAGAUCGAGAGAUUAAUAAAGUUGCAGAUUUCUCUAACUGAUAUGGAGUAAUAAAUUAAUUUAUGUUGGUUCGGGAUCCUCCAUAAAUUAAACAAUUCACAUUGUACUGGGAUGACGUUUGUAAUUAAUUAGUUUAUGGAGCAUUAAUAUUUAUUAUGUACCGACCAUGGAUUGUAUUUUAAUGUAGUUCGAAGCUAUAAUGUUACUUGAGAAUUUUUAAGUCUUAUUAGUUAUGAUAUGAGAUAAUAUGAUUUAAUAUGAAUUAUAUUAGUUUAUGAUGUGGACAAUGCUUUAAGUUUUUAACUAAUAAAUAUGUUGGUUGAUGAUGCAAA